rnacentral:rRNA from 1 species
UACGGAGUGUGCAAGCGUUACUCGGAAUCACUGGGCAUAAAGCGCGCGUAGGCGGGCUUUCAAGUCGGUUGUGAAAUCCCUCAGCUCAACUGAGGAACUGCAUCCGAUACUGUUUGUCUUGAGGACGAGAGGGGAGAGUGGAACUUCUGGUGGAGCGGUGAAAUGCGUAGAUAUCGGGAGGAACACCAGUGGCGAAGGCGACUACCUGGCCUGUUCUUGACGCUGAGGCGCGAAAGCUAGGGGAGCAAACGGG